GCGCUGCCGAGGAGUUUCACAAUAAGACGAAACGGCCGUCCAGUGC
rnacentral:hammerhead_ribozyme from 1 species